CCCGGGCCGGCCGACCGGGGUGGAGGUAACGCGUAUGCAACUUACCUAUCAGAGGGGGAUAACCCGGCGAAAGUCGGACUAAUACCGCAUAAAGCAGGGAUCCCGCAUGGGAAUAUUUGCUAAAGAUUCAUCGCUGAUAGAUAGGCAUGCGUUCCAUUAGGCAGUUGGCGGGGUAACGGCCCACCAAACCGACGAUGGAUAGGGGUUCUGAGAGGAAGGUCCCCCACAUUGGUACUGAGACACGGACCAA
rnacentral:rRNA from 1 species